rnacentral:rRNA from 1 species
AACGAACGCUGGCGGCAGGCCUAACACAUGCAAGUCGAACGCCGUAGCAAUACGGAGUGGCAGACGGGUGAGUAACACGUGGGAACGUACCCUUCGGUUCGGGAUAACUCAGGGAAGCUUGAGCUAAUACCGGAUACGUCCGAGAGGAGAAAGAUUUAUUGCCGAGGGAUCGGCCCGCGUCUGAUUAGCUUGUUGGUGAGGUAACGGCUCACCAAGGCGACGAUCAGUAGCUGGCUGAGAGGAUGAUCAGCCACAUUGGGACUGAGACACGGCCCAAACUCCUACGGGAGGCAGCAGUGGGGAAUAUUGGACAAUGGGCGCAAGCCUGAUCCAGCCAUGCCGCGUGAGUGAUGAAGGCCCUAGGGUUGUAAAGCUCUUUUACCCGGGAAGAUAAUGACUGUACCGGGAGAAUAAGCCCCGCUAACUUCGUGCCAGCAGCCGCAGUAAG